rnacentral:lncRNA from 1 species
AAAGUUUAAUACAUUAAGUAUUCCAAAAAGCUAUUACAUCAAAUGAGUGGCUUUGUGGGCAUACUUCCAACAUCAUGUGUGGAGAAGAACCUCCUAGCUAGCCUUCCAUCCAUUCAAUUUACUUGUUUUGUUUUCAAAUUCUUCAAAACCAAAACCCCCUUUACUUUAAAGUGUUUUAUUAGUCAAACUCUGUUUUGAUUUGUGUUUUUAGGUGUCCCAAAAGUGUCUUAGAGUCCAAAUCUGCCCAGUUUGUGUUUUUA